UUUUUUUUUUAAUUUAAAUUCAUUCAAAACAACAUUUUCAAAAUGAAAUGUCCUGACUUUUCAGGACAGAAUGUUCUGGUUUCCCUGGUGAAAUUAUUUCUCAAAUAUUAUCAUAUUUAUGAAGGAUCUUGCUCAUUCAAAACCUGCUGUUAAAUAUCCUUCUUUCUGAACACUUCUGUGUGCCCCUUCUGAACACUUCAGCAAUAUAGAGGGAAAACAGACGGGGCAGACGAGGUCAAGAUUUGAGUUUGGGUGGAUUUUGGUAUAUUGACUUAUGUGGACGUUUGCCUGAAUCAGUCUGUAAGCAAUUCAAGACUGCAUUUGUCUUUGUGAAGUAUAGCGUGUCUUCAUCUGCUUCUUGACCCACAGUCUGUCAGAAUAUAGCUCCAUUUUUCUUUGUGUGUCUUCAGCCCUACUGUAUUUUCCAUUUCAUCUCCUUUAGUAGUGUGACUAAGCACCUCUUGAGGGUUACUCUGUGACACGGUCAGUUCAUUUGAGUUGAUAAUUUCUGGAAGUUAUAUAGCUGGACUUGUGUUUUUAAAUUUCCCUUUACCCCAUAAUUUUUUUUCCCUUGGAAUGGCUCGAGGAAAUGCACACAAACUAAAAUCUGCAUGUGGUUUUACUUGGAAGGCUUAACGAGAGAUGUUGACCUAUGUGUUUCUAGCCUGUUUCUACAACAAGAAAGUUAUUUUGAAUUCUGUACAAAGCUUCCCUUAUAUAUGCAAAAAUUAAGAUAUUGGGCAAUUACUUUUUUCAGCUAGAAAACAAUAUGUUCUGAGCAGUUCCAGAACAUCACACUUAAAACUUUUUUUCUUUCUGCUAUGCAGAUCCUCUUUUUAUGAAAGAAUGACCUUGGUGAUCAUUUUUCAUGUUCCUGAGGUGUCUUCGCUCCCAGAAGCUGUCCACUUAUUUCCUUCUGGGCUUUCAAGGCACAUUAAAAAACAUCUGUUAUUGCACCAACUGAUGCAGCCUUUAUUAUUUUUGCUACAAUUGAACUUUGCAAAAUUGCCAUGCUGGAUUUUAUGGGCAGUUUCUGGGUUAAAGUGCAAGCCAGACUACAAGGAAAAAGAAAAAGCCCCAACUGCAGGCAGGCAACUGCUGUAAGUAGGCCUCUGUUGCCUCAACGUGGGCUGGGCAGUUCAGGCUGGGCUUAACUUUCAUCUUGGGCUCUCGUGGUUGCUUGACUUUACUCAUAUGCUGAUCUCAAUGGGAUUACAUGUGAGUUUAAACAGGAUGAGUGUUUGCUGUGUUGCAGCUUUGGACUAUACCCAGUGCUGGAGAGCACACAGACAAUAUUGUGGUGGGCAGCUGGAGUCACCACUCUGAGGCACGGUACUCAAUGGACCCGGAGGAGCAUCUGUUAACAGUAAAUAGUUUAGCUGGGAAUAAAAUAAAGUUAAGCACAAAAGUCUAGUGUCUCAUCUCUUCUGUGUAUGUAGGACCACUUGCUUCCAAUUAAACCUGUGCUCUCUACACAGCUGCAGUUUCUAAUGAAAAUUCACUGGGGCACCUGGUGCUAAUGCCCUCAUGUGCAUGUCUGGCUCGGGCAGCGGCCUGCCUGUAGCUGUUGGUGCUGUUGCUGCUGGGGAGGUCACAGCCUUCCUUUCAUCAGAAAUGCAGUGCUGCAGCCGCUGACGUAUGAAACAACAGUGAACCCUUAAGUGACCUUCAUUACAAAACCAAACUCUUAGAUCUGAGAAACAACCGCAGAGAUCCGUGUUCAUCUCAGAAAGCCCCUGCCACGGCAGUACAGUCACAGGCCAGGCAUGUCUGUGGGUGCACAGAGAGUGCAGACCCCGCAGCUGUCAGCUCUGUUGUUCCUGCGUGCUGCGUUUAUGCACAACAUUACCUUGUUAUUUGCAAUGCUCGCAGUAUGUCUUCCUUCAAAACAAAAGAAUGAUGUCCCAGUCUCUAAAACACUUUUUUUGGGUGAUACAAAGGAGGCCCUUUUGGAAAAAAAGAGACCAAGUUGCAUGUACUAUGUGAAUAUCAGCACAAGUAGAAGGAAUUUUUAAAUGCAUUUUAAAUGACCCUGAAUGUUGUCUGUGGAAAUGCUGUUUUUCCAGAAACAAUUUUCUAAGUUCGUCAUUUGGUGAUGGCCCAGGAAAGAGUGAGAUCAGAAGCUGGUGCAAGCAUUAGUGCAAGACAUGAAUCUGUUGUAAACUCUGUCUGCUUCUCUGUAUUUAGCAUUCCCCACAUCUCCUUGGCUGCCUCUGUAUAACCAGCUAUACAGGGGUUUAAUAUUUAAACAUGCAUCAUUCAAGGGGAUUACACUUAAUAUAUCUGUAGGAAAGAGGCUAAUAGUGCUCAUAUUAUUUGCAUCAGUUCUCAAGUGUGCUGAGGUCUACUUUGCUUCCUGAUUUUGGCAGAUCACACUUCUUUUAUUUUGUUCUGUUCAGCAAGGAAAUACAGAAAGACACUUUAAUUUUGCUUUUGGAAAUAUAGUAAUUUAUAAGGUUAAAUAAAAGAAUGACCAGUCAUAUUCAUUUAA